rnacentral:rRNA from 1 species
UUGAACGCUGGCGGAAUGCUUUACACAUGCAAGUCGAGCGGCAGCGCGGGGCAACCUGGCGGCGAGCGGCGAACGGGUGAGUAACAUAUCGGAACGUACCCUAUCGUGGGGGAUAACACAUCGAAAGAUGUGCUAAUACCGCAUACGACCUGAGGGUGAAAGCGGGGGAUCGCAAGACCUCGCGCGACAGGAGCGGCCGAUAUCGGAUUAGCUAGUUGGUGAGGUAAAGGCUCACCAAGGCGACGAUCUGUAGCUGGUCUGAGAGGACGACCAGCCACACUGGGACUGAGACACGGACCAGACUCCUACGGGAGGCAGCAGUGGGGAAUUUUGGACAAUGGGCGCAAGCCUGAUCCAGCAAUGCCGCGUGCAGGAAGAAGGCCUUCGGGUUGUAAACUGCUUUUGUACGGAACGAAAAGGUCUGGGUUAAUACCCUGGGCCCAUGACGGUACCGUAAGAAUAAGCACCGGCUAACUACGU